UGGUUUACUCUUUUGACCUCAAACUUCACACUGACACAUCUAAUGAGUUAUUGUUCGUUGCCAUGGUAACGCAAUAUUUUUUUUAUGCAUGGAACUGGUCUAGGCUAACUAGAUAUCAAUACAUUCCCGUAUAUUAGUUUGUUGCAAUCUUACAGCAUUUACUUCGAUUUUUUUUUAUCCUUUAUUUUCAGAUUAUUCCUUCAUGAUGAGAAUUCUGUGGAUUUUGGUUUUACUAGCCAGCGCCAAACCCGAAUAUUUAACUGCAUUCCUAGAUGAACUGAAUUCUAGCAACAACUCUUGUGAUUUCACUAUAAAAGGAAGGAAUUAUGGAAUUGUUGGAAUGCUGCCUUGUAAUUUAUUGUACACAGCUUUUCAACGCAGAACUAGAGUUAGUCUUGAAAUACGUGGAAAACGCAUCAGUGUUGGCUUUUCAGAUGACAAUCACUUAGCUCGUUGGCGUUCGAAUAAAAUGGAGAAUAUUAUGAACAAUGUUUCAUUGCGGUCGACACUGGAAACAAAAAUAUAAGAAACAAUAAUGAGUAUCAUAUAACUACAGAUCUAAAUAUAUGUAACACGGCCAUGUUGGCAUUUUAUGCCAAUCAGACCAUUGAAAUGAUAGGUUUCGUAGAUCUGAGGACGAAUAAUUCCAAUGGCAUCAUUGAUUUCAAGUAUUUUUCCGGUUGUGAAAAACUAUAACCUGUGAUUGCUGGUAUAGGAUGGUGAAUAUGAUGGAGAUAAUAACCUACUAGACGUAAGAGCAAAUUAUUAACAUUAUUUUAUUAUUGAAACAAAAAUUGUAUGCUAAUAUUCAUUCUGCGUUACAUACAAUAUGAACGAAUUGUGUCGUAGAAAUGGGUCGUAUAUGGAUAUACAAGAAGAGUAUUCUGCUAUAACCGUAAUACUGUCUUCGUCAGUUGCUAUAAAAUGGUACAAGUUCAUUCCAAUAAAAUGAAGUAAAAGUAUUUACUUCUUCUUUAUGAAUAUGAUCCAAUAUGUGCUAUGGUUUUUGUAUAUAUUGUGAUAUGCUCAAUAAAUUUGAUAAUUGUAUCUAAUGUGUAUAAUACCUACACAUUCGUAGUUCUUGGAAUAUGAUUAAUUUUGAUUACUAUAUACUCGAAAUUUGAUAUGGAAAUUCUGAAUUCUGAGUACAAUAUAAAAGUAGAGAGGGAACAGGAUUUUUUAGCAUAAUUUUUCAUGAAUUUUAGAAAUCAACACUCAGUGUUUCUAUUUAUUAUAUCAAUGCAAAGCAUAACAAUAGUUCAAUGAUAAUAAUAAAUAUUAGUAUUUUCAUUGAGUAUAAACCCAAUGUUGAAUGCUCAAAGGUAUAUAAUGAGGUGCAUCGAUUGAAAAUUUCAAAUUUGUUCUCAGAAUCGCCCUGGUGAUACAUAUAUGUCCAAGAUGUACUGAAUGACCAAUAUAUUUUACAAUUCA